rnacentral:rRNA from 1 species
CGGCGCGCCUAACACAUGCAAGUCGAACGGAAUUAUAUUGGCUGAAGUUUUCGGAUGGACGCUGAUGUAGUUUAGUGGCGAACGGGUGAGUAACGCGUGAGUAACCUGCCCUGGAGUGGGGGACAACAGUUGGAAACGACUGCUAAUACCGCAUAAGCCCACGACCCGGCAUCGGGUUGAGGGAAAAGGAUUUAUUCGCUUCAGGAUGGACUCGCGUCCAAUUAGCUAGUUGGUGAGGUAACGGCCCACCAAGGCGACGAUUGGUAGCCGGACUGAGAGGUUGAACGGCCACAUUGGGACUGAGACACGGCCCAGACUCCUACGGGAGGCAGCAGUGGGGGAUAUUGCACAAUGGGGGAAACCCUGAUGCAGCGACGCCGCGUGGAGGAAGAAGGUUUUCGGAUUGUAAACUCCUGUCGUUAGGGACGAAUCAUGACGGUACCUAACAAGAAAGCACCGGCUAACUACGUGCCAGCAGCCGCGGUAAUACGUAGGGGGCAAGCGUUAUCCGGAUUUACUGGGUGUAAAGGGAGCGUAGACGGCAAGGCAAGUCUGAAGUGAAAGCCCGGGGCUUAACCGCGGGACUGCUUUGGAAACUGUCUGGCUGGAGUGCCGGAGAGGUAAGCGGAAUUCCUAGUGUAGCGGUGAAAUGCGUAGAUAUUAGGAGGAACACCAGUGGCGAAGGCGGCUUACUGGACGGUAACUGACGUUGAGGCUCGAAAGCGUGGGGAGCAAACAGG